GAGUCGCUAGCUCAGUUGGUAGAGCAACGGCCUUUUAAGCCGUGGGUCGUGGGUCCGAGCCCCACGCGACUCA
rfam:Lactobacillus mellis strain Hon2 genomic scaffold Hon2_scaffold1, whole genome shotgun sequence.